CGACGAACUUCUUUAUCACCGAGUGCUUGCACUCACCGAUAAAGAGUUGAGUGGCGAACGGGUGAGUAACACGUGGGCAACCUGCCCAAAAGAGGGGGAUAACACUUGGAAACAGGUGCUAAUACCGCAUAACCAUAGUUACCGCAUGGUAACUAUGUAAAAGGUGGCUAUACUACCGCUUUUGGAUGGGCCCGCGGCGCAUUAGCUAGUUGGUAGGGUAAAGGCUUACCAAGGCAAUGAUGCGUAGCCGAAUUGAGAGGUUGAUCGGCCACAUUGGGACUGAGACACGGCCCAAACUCCUACGGGAGGCAGCAGUAGGGAAUCUUCCACAAUGGGCGAAAGCCUGAUGGAGCAACGCCGCGUGGGUGAAGAAGGUCUUCGGAUCGUAAAACCCUGUUGUUAGAGAAGAAAGUGCGUGAGAGUAACUGUUCACGUUUCGACGGUAUCUAACCAGAAAGCCACGGCUAACUACGUGCCAGCAGCCGCGGUAAUACGUAGGUGGCAAGCGUUAUCCGGAUUUAUUGGGCGUAAAGGGAACGCAGGCGGUCUUUUAAGUCUGAUGUGAAAGCCUUCGGCUUAACCGGAGUAGUGCAUUGGAAACUGGGAGACUUGAGUGCAGGAGAGGAGAGUGGAACUCCAUGUGUAGCGGUGAAAUGCGUAGAUAUAUGGAAGAACACCAGUGGCGAAAGCGGCUCUCUGGUCUGUAACUGACGCUGAGGUUCGAAAGCGUGGGUAGCAAACAGGAUUAGAUACCCUGGUAGUCCACGCCGUANACGAUGAAUGCUAAGUG
rnacentral:rRNA from 1 species